AUUGAACGCUGGCGGCAGGCUUAACACAUGCAAGUCGAGCGAGCGGCGGACGGGUGUGUAAUGUCUGGGAAACUGCCUGAUGGAGGGGGAUAACUACUGGAAACGGUAGCUAAUACCGCAUACAAUCAGAUGAGACCAGAUGGGAUUAGCUAGUGGGUGGGGUAAUGGCUCACCUAGGCGACGAUCCCUACCUUGUCUGAGAGGAUGACCAGCCACACUGGAACUGAGCAACGGUCCAGACUCCUACGGUAGGCAGCAGUGGGGAAUAUUGCACAAUGGGCGCAAGCCUGCUGCAGCCAUGCCGCGUGUGUGAAGAAGGCCUUCGGGUUGUAAAGCACUUUCAGCGAGGAGGCGUUACUCGCAGAAUAAGCACCGGCUAACUCCGUGCCAGCAGCCGCGGUAAUAC
rnacentral:rRNA from 1 species